rfam:Oryctolagus cuniculus unplaced genomic scaffold chrTn0587, whole genome shotgun sequence.
UAGGAAAGUCAGGGCCAGGAGCCCCCGCCCCGAGCCCAGGGUAACUCUUGAUGUAGGGGGGCA